rnacentral:rRNA from 1 species
UACGUAGGUGGCAAGCGUUGUCCGGAAUUAUUGGGCGUAAAGCGCGCGCAGGCGGUCCUUUAAGUCUGAUGUGAAAGCCCACGGCUCAACCGUGGAGGGUCAUUGGAAACUGGGGGACUUGAGUACAGAAGAGAAGAGUGGAAUUCCACGUGUAGCGGUGAAAUGCGCAGAUAUCUGGAGGAAUACCGGUGGCGAAGGCGGCGAUCCUGGACCGGCAUUGACGCUGAGGAGCGAAAGCCAGGGGAGCAAACGGG